GUGGAUGUGCUUAGGAGUGGUUAUCGGGCAUGACUAGAAAUCAUGUGGGUUCUACCUGCGCAGGUUCGAAUCACUGCCAUUCACG